GUGUCAGCCGCCGCGGUAAUACAGAGGGUGCGAGCGUUAAUCGGAAUUACUGGGCGUAAAGCGCACGUAGGCGGCUUUGUAAGUCGGGUGUGAAAUCCCCGGGCUCAACCUGGGAACUGCAUUCGAGACUGCAUGGCUGGAGUACGGAAGAGGAAGGCGGAAUUCCCGGUGUAGCGGUGAAAUGCGUAGAUAUCGGGAGGAACAUCAGUGGCGAAGGCGGCCUUCUGGUCCAGUACUGACGCUCAAGUGCGAAAGCGUGGGGAGCAAACAGGAUUAGAAACCCCCGUAGUCC
rnacentral:rRNA from 1 species